GUACUUCCAUGUUAUUGUAGUUUAUGUGAUGCUCGAUGUCAAAUUGCAAUUUCUUUUCAGAAAUCUUCCAUAAAACACUCUUAAAAGUCUCCGUUGUUGUCACAAGAAGCCACAUCCACCACAGGGCUCACUGCUUAUGAGAAAACACGAUUUAGAGAGUGGAUCGAAAGGAUGAAGAACUAGGGUUUAAAAAUGGACAGAAAUACGACAUCAUAAUUGAAUUUAGAAUCCAUACCCCCCCUGUUUUAUUAACAUCAUACUCCCUCCAUUCCAAAAUAUAGGUCGUUUUGGUAUUUUAGUUACAUAGAUUUUGCUAUGUAUCUAGACAUAACCCUAUAUUUAGGUGCAUAGAAAAAUCCAUGUAUCUAGAAAACCCAAAACGACCUACAUUUUGGAAUGAAGGGAGUAGUUUAUGGAGGGAGUAGUAUAUUUUAAAACGGAGAGAGUAUUUUAUAUGUUACUGCAAUAUUGGACUAUUCAGAGGUCCACAACCAGAGGACAUUAUUUGGUAUUCUUGACAGUGAAUUUUUUUGGUUCAGAGAAAUGUGAAAUCACUCAUUGACUCUAAACUGGAGAAGUUCAAAAACUUAUGGGAGGAAUCCCAUUUCUACUGGGGAGAGAUUGAUGCGGGAACUCUCAAGUUUGACAGGGUCGAGUCAGAGGUAAGAGUUAUCCUUUGGUUAAAAUGCUUCAUUGUAAAAGAACAUUACAUCAAGUACAAAGAAAACAGGUUGUAGUUAAACAAAAAUGGCGUACGAGUUGAGAAGUUUUCUCAAAAUUUUAUCACUGUUACUAUUCAGAGAAAACAGAAAAUAAUAAGGUUGAGUAUUAAUUGUCAACAAGAUGUGCUGACCUCGAAAUAACAUUUGCCAGGUCGCUCUCCUAAGAGAGCUCAAAAAAGAAGAAUUCAUUGCGUUCUUCGAUCAGUACAUAAAACUGGAUGCGCCUGAAAGGAGGACAAUAAGCGUGCAAGUCUUCA
rnacentral:lncRNA from 1 species